CAUUUUCGUUUUUUUUUCCCCGUUGGGUCAAUUGGCAGAUCCCCGCGGUGUCGGGCUCGGAACGAGCUUUUCGAAACGUACUCACGGGCCACGUGAGUCCAUCGGGAUCGAAAGUUAGGCACGUAAACGCGGAGACGCGCGGAUUACGUUUACAGAGAAAUUCUCCAUUUCGUAUUUCGUCGCACGUAAGUAGCGUUACGAUAACCGCGCGACGGGUCCUUGAGAGCAGGAAGUUGAACACUCCGGACGUUUCUCGAGAGGAGAAAGCGAUUCGCAUCAAGUAAAUAUGCUAUGCGUAACAUGAC
rnacentral:misc_RNA from 1 species